UACAAAAUGUACCUUAAUACCUAGUUCGUUUAACAGGGUUGCCAUAGCCAGGGAGUACCAGAAAAACCGGGAGAUGUUAGGAAUUUCAACAAGUCAGGGAAAAACCUGGAAAUGUCAGGGAAAAUGACGGAAAUGUCAGGGAAAAUGACGAAAAUGUCAAGGAAAAAUUAAUAGGUCAUCUUCAUUUGCUUAUUAGAAUGGGUAUGGACAUUUUGAACAACAAAUUUUGCCUGGAACCUAUUUCUAAUUGGAUUACAUUUUGCAUAAGGAACCACCAUUUUUGGUCCAUUCUGUCAGAAAAAACAUACAUGCCAUUAGUUUCCCUAUAUAGAUAUGUGCUUCUAUGGGAGAGCCAGAGAUAGUGGUUCAUUUUUACAAAACGUAAUCCAAUUAUGUCUUUUUAACCAUCUGCUAUAUCUAAAGUUGUCAGGGAAUUUCACCAACAUCUGUCAGGGAAAUCAGGGAAAUGUCAAGGAAUUUAAUUUUCUAAAUUCCGUGGCAACCCUGGUUUAAUUUGAGAUCCGGGCUUACACUUAUUUCAGUCGACUUGGCGAUGCAGUGCUUGAUUACGAGCUGAUUAUGCAAGCCAGUGCACUGGCCGUGUGCAGCACAUGCGGUCUACCCAGUGACUUACCUACCUAGUCUCGCCGCGCGCCGGCUGCCAGUGUCAUUGGAAUAAUCCUUGCGAGCUGAUCGUCUAUGAUCAGUGCAAGUGAACACCGCACCGUGCCGCUCCAAGUUCGACCAGGAUCGCGUUCCUUGGACUUUCGUGUUUGUUUUUUGUUCGUUCUGUGUCGUGAAAAUGGGGUUUUUCACGCGUUCGUUUGUCUAUAGUGUCGUGUUCGUUAUCUUUGCUGCGGUUCUCGUCAACAUUCCCAACCUGCCCCCUGAUUCGAACUUUGAAGAGUUUCCGAUUUGCACCUGUGCCACCGUUAGAAGGGCCGCUUGCUUUAAACGAUGCCCUGAACAAUGCGGAACACCUCUUCGUCGGCGAGGCUAUUGCCCCAGAGGGUCUCGCAAUCCAUAAAAACGUCCUUUACACCGGACUUGCAGAUGGCCGAAUCGUAGCCUCUGAAAAAUAAAUAAGUUGGUGACCGUCGCAUCCUUGGCAAAUCAUGCAGUAAGCACCCACCGUAUAUAUUUGCCAUGUAUUUACUGAGGUCUACGUAUUAUUUUUUUUAUUUAUCA
rnacentral:lncRNA from 1 species